AUUGAACGCUGGCGGCAUGCCUUACACAUGCAAGUCGAACGGUAACAGGUUAAGCUGACGAGUGGCGAACGGGUGAGUAAUGUAUCGGAACGUGCCCAGUCGUGGGGGAUAACUGCUCGAAAGAGCAGCUAAUACCGCAUACGACCUGAGGGUGAAAGCGGGGGAUCGCAAGACCUCGCGCGAUUGGAGCGGCCGAUAUCAGAUUAGGUAGUUGGUGAGGUAAAGGCUCACCAAGCCGACGAUCUGUAGCUGGUCUGAGAGGACGACCAGCCACACUGGGACUGAGACACGGCCCAGACUCCUACGGGAGGCAGCAGUGGGGAAUUUUGGACAAUGGGCGCAAGCCUGAUCCAGCCAUGCCGCGUGAGGGAAGAAGGCCUUCGGGUUGUAAACCGCUUUUGUCAGGGAAGAAAAGGUUCUGGCUAAUACCUGGGACUCAUGACGGUACCUGAAGAAUAAGCACCGGCUAACUACGUG
rnacentral:rRNA from 1 species